UGGCUUGUAGCUCAGGUGGUUAGAGCGCACCCCUGAUAAGGGUGAGGUCGGUGGUUCAAGUCCACUCAGGCCUACCA
rnacentral:tRNA from 1 species